rnacentral:rRNA from 1 species
GAUGAACGCUAGCGGCAGGCUUAACACAUGCAAGUCGAGGGGCAGCGCGAUGUAGCAAUACAUUGGCGGCGACCGGCGCACGGGUGCGUAACACGUAUGGAACUUACCCUUUACUGGGAGAUAGCCCGGAGAAAUCCGGAUUAAUAUCCCAUAAUAAACGAAGUGGCAUCACUUUGUUUUGAAAGCUCCGGCGGUAAAGGAUGGCCAUGCGCACGAUUAGCUAGUAGGUGAGGUAACGGCUCACCUAGGCUACGAUCGUUAGGGGGCCUGAGAGGGUUAUCCCCCACACUGGUACUGAGACACGGACCAGACUCCUACGGGAGGCAGCAGUGAGGAAUAUUGCGCAAUGGAGGCAACUCUGACGCAGCCAUGCCGCGUGCAGGAAGAAGGCGCUACGCGUUGUAAACUGCUUUUUAACCGGGAAGAAACCCUCCGACGUGUCGGAGGUUGACGGUACCGGAGGAAUAAGCACCGGCUAACUUCGUGCCAGCAGCCGCGGU